ACGGAGGGUGCAAGCGUUAUUCGGAAUUACUGGGCGUAAAGAGCAUGUAGGCGGAUAGGCAAGUCUGAUGUGAAAGCCCGGGGCUUAACCCGGGAACUGCAUUGGAAACUGUGGGACUUGAGUACGGGAGAGGAUGGGGGAAUUCCCGGUGUAGAGGUGAAAUUCGUAGAGAUCGGGAGGAAUAUCAGUGGCGAAGGCGCCCAUCUGGACGGUAACUGACGCUGAGACGCGAAAGCGUGGGGAGCAAACAG
rnacentral:rRNA from 1 species